CCGCUUGCCUCGCCCAGCGCAGCCCCGGCCGCUGGGCGCACCCGUCCCGUUCGUCCCCGGACGUUGCUCUCUACCCCGGGAACGUCGAGACUGGAGCGCCCGAACUGAGCCACCUUCGCGGACCCCGAGAGCGGCGGCGCGACUCACCGCGGAGGCGCCCGGACGCGUCAAGCCCAGCCCAAUAGGAAGCACCUGAUCCACACUCUUUCUAGCCCCAGGGAUGCUCAGGAAAGCAGCCUUUCUUUAGGGCUGUCAUCUGUUCUGGGGAUCUGUUGCUGUUUCUUGGGCCCACAGAAUACACUCCACACCUCGGGACUCCAUAAUAUUGGACAAGGCUGGAAGGCCCAUUUGGCUCCUGCAGCCUCUUAUGCAGGAGGACCUCCUGAGGCUUCGGGCAGGAGCUGGUGCACACCUGGAGGAGAGUGCUGGUGAAUGGCAGGUGUGUGCCUCAGUGUCCUUGCUGCCAGGGUGUCAGCCCUGCUUCACCACUGGCCGUUUGUCUCUGUCCCCUCCACUGGCCUCUUGAAGCACAGAGACCCUCCGGUCAUCCUCUUCAGCGGUCCUCCCAGAGCUGUCCUCAGCAUGGCAGCCUCCACAGCCCCUGGGUGUCACCCCCGGUUUCGUGUCUGCCUCGGACUCCAGACCUGCCCCUCCCAGGCUGGCCCAGAUGGAUCCUCUACAGUGACUAACCCAAACCAGCACCAGGCAGGGACCCAAUAAACCUUUGUGAAUGGAGUAAAAAAAAAAAAAAAAAAAAAAAAAAAAAAA
rnacentral:lncRNA from 1 species